UUGCGACCAGAUCACGUUGAAACACCGGUUCUCAUACGAUCACCAAAGUUAAGCAACUUCGAGCCUGCUCAAUAUCUAGAUGAGUGACUUCUUGGGAAUACGAAGUACUGUAAG